rnacentral:rRNA from 1 species
CUACGGCCGCUCCAGUGGGGAAUAUUGCACAAUGGGCGCAAGCCUGAUGCAGCCAUGCCGCGUGUAUGAAGAAGGCCUUCGGGUUGUAAAGUGCUUUCAGCGGGGAGGAAGGGAGUAAAGUUAAUACCUUUGCUCAUUGACGUUACCCGCAGAAGAAGCACCGGCUAACUCCGUGCCAGCAGCCGCGGUAAUACGGAGGGUGCAAGCGUUAAUCGGAAUUACUGGGCGUAAAGCGCACGCAGGCGGUUUGUUAAGUCAGAUGUGAAAUCCCCGGGCUCAACCUGGGAACUGCAUCUGAUACUGGCAAGCUUGAGUCUCGUAGAGGGGGGUAGAAUUCCAGGUGUAGCGGUGAAAUGCGUAGAGAUCUGGAGGAAUACCGGUGGCGAAGGCGGCCCCCUGGACGAAGACUGACGCUCAGGUGCGAAAGCGUGGGGAGCAAACAGGAUUAGAUACCCCAGUAGUC